AUGGAGCCCGGAAAGCGGGAGACAUGGCGGACGACGAUGCUGCUGGCGUACCAGAGCCUGGGGGUGGUGUACGGGGACCUGAGCAUCUCCCCGCUCUACGUCUACAAGAGCACCUUCGCCGACGACAUCACCCACACCGACUCCAACGACGAGAUCCUCGGCGUCCUCUCCUUCGUCUUCUGGACGCUCACCCUCAUCCCGCUCCUCAAGUACGUCUCCAUCGUGCUCCGAGCCGACGACAACGGCGAGGGCGGCACCUUCGCGCUCUACUCCCUCAUCUGCAGGCACGCCAACGUCAGCCUGCUCCCCAACCGCCAGCUCGCCGACGAGGAGCUCUCCACCUACAGCCUCGAGCGCCCGCCGGAGGAGGUCGCCCACGGCUCCCGCGUCAGGCGAUGGCUCGAGGCGCACCGCAGCCUCAAGACCGCCCUGCUCGUCAUGGUCAUGAUCGGGACCUGCAUGGUCAUCGGCGACGGCGUCCUCACCCCCGUCAUCUCCGUGUUCUCGGCUGUUUCUGGGCUUGAGCUCUCCUUGUCCAAGCAUCAGCAUGAAUAUGCCGUCACUCCGAUUACUUGUGCCAUAAUAGUGUUCCUGUUUGCGCUCCAGCAUUACGGCACCCACCGCGUCGGGUUUCUCUUCGCUCCCAUAAUUCUAGCCUGGCUGAUCUGCAUGAGUGCGCUUGGCGUGUACAAUAUCAUCUACUGGAACCCUCAGGUUUACAUGGCACUCAAUCCCGUAUACAUGUUCAAAUUCUUGAAGAAGACCAAGAAGUCUGGUUGGAUGUCCCUGGGAGGGAUUCUGCUCUGCAUGACAGGAUCUGAAGCAAUGUUUGCAGAUCUUGGCCACUUCUCCUACAGUGCAAUCCAGCUUGCUUUCACUUCUUUGGUGUACCCUGCACUGAUCCUAGGAUACAUGGGUCAAGCUGCCUAUUUAACCAAACACCAUGACUUCGACUCAAGCUACCAAAUUGGAUACUACAUCUCAGUUCCAGAGGCUGUGAGAUGGCCAGUGCUGGUGCUGGCGAUCAUGGCGUCGGUGGUCGGAAGCCAAGCGAUCAUCAGCGGCACCUUCUCCAUCAUCAACCAGAGUCAGGCCCUGAGCUGCUUCCCGCGGGUGAAGGUCGUGCACACAUCGGCGAAGGUCCAUGGCCAGAUCUACAUCCCGGAGAUCAACUGGAUGCUCAUGGUGCUCUGCAUCGCGGUCACCGUCGGGUUCCGCGACACCAAGCACAUGGGGAACGCGUCGGGGCUGGCGGUGAUCACGGUGAUGCUGGUCACCACGUGCCUCACGUCGCUGGUCAUGAUGCUGUGCUGGCACCGGCCGCCGGUGCUGGCGCUGGCCUUCUUCGUCUUCUUCGGAUCCAUCGAGGCGCUCUACUUCUCGGCAUCACUCACCAAGUUCCUUGACGGCGCGUGGGUGCCGCUCCUCCUCGCGCUCAUCCUCGUCGCCGUCAUGUUCGUGUGGCACCACACCACCGUCAAGAAGUACGAGUUCGACCUCCACAACAAGGUCACCAUGGAGUGGCUCCUCGCGCUCUGCGACAGGCUCGGCAUGGUCCGCGUCCCCGGCAUCGGCCUCGUCUACACCGACCUCACCUCCGGCGUGCCCGCCAACUUCUCCCGCUUCGUCACCAACCUCCCGGCCUUCCACCGCGUGCUCGUCUUCGUCUGCGUCAAGUCCGUGCCCGUGCCGCGCGUGCUCCCCGCCGAGCGCUACCUCGUCGGCCGCGUCGGCCCGCCGGGCCACCGCUCGUACCGCUGCAUCGUGCGCUACGGGUACCGGGACGUGCACCAGGACGUGGACUCGUUCGAGACGGAGCUCGUCGAGAGCCUCGCGUCCUUCAUCCGGCUCGACGCGCUCUUCCGGUGCAGCGACGCCCGCAGCGACGCCGACUACGAGCGCGAGAACGCCUUCACCGUCAUCGGCAGCAACCCGCUCCGGCGCCGCAUCAGCUACGACGACACCCACGACAGCGCGUCGUCCGUGGAGAUACGCGUGGAGAGCCCGACGGGCAGCAACGGGACGAACACCAUGGAGCUCACGGCCAUGCCGGCGGCGGCGCCGCGGGUGGUGAAGAGGGUGAGGUUCCUUGUGGACCCCGGGAGCCCCGACGUGGAGGACAAGCAGAUGCUGGAGGAGCUCCACGAGUUGUGCGAGGCGAGGGAGGCCGGCACGGCCUUCAUCAUGGGCCACUCCCACGUGAAGGCCAAGCCCGGGUCGUCGCUGCUCAGGAGGCUGGCUAUCGGGUACGGCUACAACUUCCUGCGCCGGAACUGCCGCGGCCCGGACGUCGUGCUGCGCGUGCCGCCGGCGUCGCUGCUUGAGGUCGGCAUGGUCUACGUGCUGUGA
rnacentral:rRNA from 1 species